CUGGGCGACUCUAUAGGAGACUGCCGGUGACAAACCGGAGGAAGGUGGGGAUGACGUCAAGUCAUCAUGGCCCUUACGGCCUGGGCUACACACGUGCUACAAUGGUCGGUACAAAGGGUUGCCAAGCCGCGAGGUGGAGCUAAUCCCAUAAAACCGAUCGUAGUCCGGAUCGCAGUCUGCAACUCGACUGCGUGAAGUCGGAAUCGCUAGUAAUCGUGAAUCAGAAUGUCACGGUGAAUACGUUCCCGGGCCUU
rnacentral:rRNA from 1 species